rnacentral:lncRNA from 1 species
GUUGGGGGGAAUUUGGAGGCUUCUUCUCAAAAGGAACAUUCAGCAAACAAAUUAAAACAAAAUUAACAAGAACCAGCAGAAGAUAACCCGAAUGAUGUCUGCCUGUACCUCAAGAAUGAAGACAGAGUGAUCUGGCUUUAAAAGUAAAAAUCUGAGAAAAAAAUCCAAAAUAUCUAAGUAUUG